CCUACGGGAGGCAGCAGUGGGGAAUAUUGCACAAUGGGGGAAACCCUGAUGCAGCGACGCCGCGUGAGUGAAGAAGUAUUUCGGUAUGUAAAGCUCUAUCAGCAGGGAAGAAAAUGACGGUACCUGACUAAGAAGCCCCGGCUAACUACGUGCCAGCAGCCGCGGUAAUACGUAGGGGGCAAGCGUUAUCCGGAUUUACUGGGUGUAAAGGGAGCGUAGACGGCCUGACAAGUCAGAAGUGAAAGCCCAGGGCUCAACUCUGGGACUGCUUUUGAAACUGCCGGGCUGGAGUGAAGGAGAGGUAAGCGGAAUGCCUAGUGUAGCGGUGAAAUGCGUAGAUAUUAGGAGGAACACCAGUGGCGAAGGCGGCUUACUGGACUGUAACUGACGUUGAGGCACGAAAGCGUGGGGAGCAAACAGGAUUAGAUACCCUUGUAGUC
rnacentral:rRNA from 1 species